UACGUAGGCAGCGAGCGUUGUUCGGAGUUACUGGGCGUAAAGGGUGUGUAGGCGGUUGCUUAAGUUUGGUGUGAAAUCUCCCGGCUUAACCGGGAGGGUGCGCCGAAUACUGAGUGACUAGAGUGCGGGAGAGGAGAGUGGAAUUCCUGGUGUAGCGGUGAAAUGCGUAGAUAUCAGGAGGAACACCGGUGGUGUAGACGGCUCGUCUGGACCGUAACUGACGCUGAGACGACGAAAGCGUGGGUAGCAAACAGG
rnacentral:rRNA from 1 species